CAAUAGCGUAUAUUAAAGUUGUUGCAGUUAAAAAGCUCGUAGUUGGAUUUCUGGUAGGAGUGACCGUGCCAGACUUGAUUGUCUGUGUAUUGUGUUGUCUCCAGCCAUCCUUGUGGAGAACUUUUCUUGCAUUAAUUUGUAGGGAUUGGGACCCGCAUCGUUUACUGUGAAAAAAUUAGAGUGUUUAAAGCAGGCAAUCGCUUGAAUACAUUAGCAUGGAAUAAUAAGAUAGGACUUUGGUACUAUUUUGUUGGUUUGCAUACCAAAUUAAUGAUCAACAGGAACAGUUUGAGGAUAUUCGUAUGAACAUGUCAGAGGUGAAAUUCUUGGAUUUUGAUCAGACGAACUACUGCGAAAGCAUUUAUCAAGGAUGUUUNCAUUA
rnacentral:rRNA from 1 species